rnacentral:rRNA from 1 species
UGAAGAGUUUGAUCAUGGCUCAGAUUGAACGCUGGCGGCAGGCCUAACACAUGCAAGUCGAACGGUAACAGGAAGCAGCUUGCUGCUUUGCUGACGAGUGGCGGACGGGUGAGUAAUGUCUGGGAAACUGCCUGAUGGAGGGGGAUAACUACUGGAAACGGUGGCUAAUACCGCAUAACGUCGCAAGACCAAAGAGGGGGACCUUCGGGCCUCUUGCCAUCAGAUGUGCCCAGAUGGGAUUAGCUAGUUGGUGAGGUAACGGCUCACCAAGGCGACGAUCCCUAGCUGGUCUGAGAGGAUGACCAGCCACACUGGAACUGAGACACGGUCCAGACUCCUACGGGAGGCAGCAGUGGGGAAUAUUGCACAAUGGGCGCAAGCCUGAUGCAGCCAUGCCGCGUGUAUGAAGAAGGCCUUCGGGUUGUAAAGUACUUUCAGCGGGGAGGAAGGUGUUGUGGUUAAUAACCGCAGCAAUUGACGUUACCCGCAGAAGAAGCACCGGCUAACUCCGUGCCAGCAGCCGCGGUAAUACGGAGGGUGCAAGCGUUAAUCGGAAUUACUGGGCGUAAAGCGCACGCAGGCGGUCUGUCAAGUCGGAUGUGAAAUCCCCGGGCUCAACCUGGGAACUGCAUUCGAAACUGGCAGGCUUGAGUCUUGUAGAGGGGGGUAGAAUUCCAGGUGUAGCGGUGAAAUGCGUAGAGAUCUGGAGGAAUACCGGUGGCGAAGGCGGCCCCCUGGACAAAGACUGACGCUCAGGUGCGAAAGCGUGGGGAGCAAACAGGAUUAGAUACCCUGGUAGUCCACGCCGUAAACGAUGUCUACUUGGAGGUUGUGCCCUUGAGGCGUGGCUUCCGGAGCUAACGCGUUAAGUAGACCGCCUGGGGAGUACGGCCGCAAGGUUAAAACUCAAAUGAAUUGACGGGGGCCCGCACAAGCGGUGGAGCAUGUGGUUUAAUUCGAUGCAACGCGAAGAACCUUACCUGGUCUUGACAUCCACAGAAGAAUCCAGAGAUGGAUUUGUGCCUUCGGGAACUGUGAGACAGGUGCUGCAUGGCUGUCGUCAGCUCGUGUUGUGAAAUGUUGGGUUAAGUCCCGCAACGAGCGCAAC